CCCUCGUCUAUCCGGGCAUCUAUCCGGGGAGCUCUUGCUGGGCUGCUGACUGUUGCUGGAGUUUGGAGGCUGCAGGAGGCAGGCGGUAAACAGGAAACGGAGCCAGAAUUUCCUGAGCAUCCUUCAAUAUAUCUGAGGCUCUCGAGGUCUCUGACUCAGAACACAAGAAAAGAGGAGGAGAAAAUAGCCGAAAAGCUCAUCACUUCUCCAGGCUGGGCUGUGAGCGUGGCCUCUUCCACCUGCCACUGUUACGGGGCCCUGGGGAAAUUCUGCCACCAGUUCUGUUCAUUCAAGAGGCAUGUGUUGGCACCAACUUUGUGUGAGGCCCUGGGCUGCGCACCGGGAGGAACCAGCUAAGUGAGGACACUGAGGCUCAGAGAGGUGAAGUUGCUUGUUGACCUAGGACAUGGCAGGGUUGGAACUCGGGUCCAGGCCUCUGCA